rnacentral:lncRNA from 1 species
GGAUGAAGCGGCACGGCGAUCUUUCCUCCUUUUCGCAGCUCAGCAAUCUCUCCUUCUUUCCGCGGCUCGGCGAUCUCUCCUCCUUUCCGCGGCUUGGCGAGCUUUCCUCCUUUCCGUGGCUUGGCGAUCUCUACUCCUUUGAAUUUUUUUUGUACGCCGGAACGUGUGUAGCAAUCUAUUUUUUUUCUCUUUUUCGUCUAUCGUAUCGUCCCCCGUAUUGAUCUCGAUUCUCGUAUUUAUAAUGGGAGGGGUGGUGAGAGAUAUUUUGAGGGAUUCAAAAUUUGAAAUUGAAUUUUGAAUAGGUUGUUAUGGUUGGUUGAAAGAUAUUUGGGAUUGGUUGGAAAUUCAAAAUUCGAAAUCGAAUUUUGAAUGGAUUGUUGGAUGGUUGGAGGAUAUUUUGAGGAUUGAUUCGAAAUUCAAAAUCGAAUUUUGAAUGGGUUGUGGAAGAUAUUUUGGGAGUUGGUUGAAAAUUUGAAAUUCGAAAUCAAAUUUUGAAUGAGUUGUUGGAUGGUUGGAAGAUUUUUUGGGAAUUGAUUCGAAAUUCGAAAUCGAAUUUUGAAUGGGUUGAGGAAAAUAUUUUGGGAGUUGGUUGGAAAUUCGAAAUUCGAAAUUGAAUUUUGAAUGAGUUGUUGGAUGGUUGGAAGAUAUUUUGGGAAUUGAUUCGAAAUUCAAAAUCGAAUUUUGAAUGGGUUGUGAAAAAUAUUUUGGGAGUUGGUUGGAAAUUCGAAAUUCGAAAUCGAAUUUUGAAUAGGUUGUUGGAUGGUUGGAAGAUAUUUUGGGAAUUGGUUAGGGAUUCCAAAUUCGAAAUCGAAUUUUGAAUGGGUUGUUGGAUGGUUGGAAGAUAUUUUGGGAAUUGGUUAGGGAUUCCAAAUUCGAAAUCGAAUUUUGAAUGGGUUGUUGGAUAGUUGGAAGAUAUUUUGGGAAUUGGUUAGGGAUUCGAAAUUCAAAUCGAAUUUUGAAUAGGUUGGGGAGUGGUUGGAAGAUAUUUUGGGAGUUGGUUGGGAAUUCGAAAUUCGAAAUUCGAAAUUCGAAAUUUGAAUUUUGAAUGGGUUGUUGGAGGAUAUUUUGGAAAUUGGUUGGGAAUUCGAAAUUCGAAAUUCGAAAUCGAAUUUUGAAUGGGUUGUGAUUUGAAAUCGAAUUUCGAACAGAUAAUUUAUAGAAUGUGGAUGUGGGUCGUCGUUGAUCAGGCCCGCUUUAAUUUAUUGGACCCAAAUGAUAAUAUUUAAUGGGCUGGAAUGAGGCCCCCUUUUUUUUUUUUGCAUGGACUUUCAUGAGGCCCACCAACUCACAUUUAUGAAUGGACCUAUUGUAUAUUUGAAAUAUAAUUAUUGGCCCAAAAAUUUAAUGGUUAACACGAGAUCUAUUAGGAUUGUAUGAACUCGAAUCUAAUCGUUUUU